rnacentral:misc_RNA from 1 species
GUAACAAGGUCUCCGUUGGUGAACCAGCGGAGGGAUCAUUACCGAGUUUACAACUCCCAAACCCCUGUGAACAUACCAUAUGUUGCCUCGGCGGAUCAGCCCGUCCUUCGGGACGGCCCGCCGCAGGACCCUAAACUCUGUUUUUAGUGGAACUUCUGAGUAAAAAAACAAAUAAAUCAAAACUUUCAACAACGGAUCUCUUGGUUCUGGCAUCGAUGAAGAACGCAGCAAAAUGCGAUAAGUAAUGUGAAUUGCAGAAUUCAGUGAAUCAUCGAAUCUUUGAACGCACAUUGCGCCCGCCAGUAUUCUGGCGGGCAUGCCUGUUCGAGCGUCAUUUCAACCCUCAAGCCCAGCUUGGUGUUGGGAGCUGCUUUAGUUAGCACUCCCCAAAUUGAUUGGCGGUCACGUCGAGCUUCCAUAGCGUAGUAAUUUACACAUCGUUACUGGUAAUCGUCGCGGCCACGCCGUUAAACCCCAACUUCUGAAUGUUGACCUCGGAUCAGGUAGGAAUACCCGCUGAACUUAAGCAUAUC